AAGCAGGAUUCAGACAACAGUGUAGCUGCUAAGUGCUGUGUAGUAGCUCCGUCUGCUCAAAAUAAAGUCGUUUCCUGACUAUACCUGUCUGCUCUACACUGUAGCAGCCAGGGAUGCUUGAUUUCAUAGAU